AUUGAACGCUGGCGGCAGGCCUAACACAUGCAAGUCGAACGGUAACAGGAAGAAGCUUGCUUCUUUGCUGACGAGUGGCGGACGGGUGAGUAAUGUCUGGGAAACUGCCUGAUGGAGGGGGAUAACUACUGGAAACGGUAGCUAAUACCGCAUAACGUCGCAAGACCAAAGAGGGGGACCUUCGGGCCUCUUGCCCUCGGAUGUGCCCAGAUGGGAUUAGCUAGUAGGUGGGGUAACGGCUCACCUAGGCGACGAUCCCUAGCUGGUCUGAGAGGAUGACCAGCCACACUGGAACUGAGACACGGUCCAGACUCCUACGGGAGGCAGCAGUGGGGAAUAUUGCACAAUGGGCGCAAGCCUGAUGCAGCCAUGCCGCGUGGAUGAAGAAGGCCUUCGGGUUGUAAAGUACUUUCAGCGGGGAGGAAGGGAGUAAAGUUAAUACCUUUGCUCAUUGACGUUACCCGCAGAAGAAGCACCGGCUAACUCCGUG
rnacentral:rRNA from 1 species